rnacentral:rRNA from 1 species
GACGAACGCUGGCGGCGUGCCUAACACAUGCAAGUCGAACGGGGUAUAAGAUUUCGGUUUUGUACCUAGUGGCGAACGGGUGAGUAACGCGUGAACAACCUGCCUUUCUGAGGGGGAUAACACCUGGAAACAAGUGCUAAUACCGCAUAAGACCACAGGGUCGCAUGGCCCAGGGGUCAAAGGAGCAAUCCGCAGAAAGAGGGGUUCGCGUCCCAUUAGGUAGUAGGCGGGAUAACAGCCCACCUAGCCAACGAUGGGUAGCCGAGCUGAGAGGCUGAUCGGCCACACUGGAACUGAGACACGGUCCAGACUCCUACGGGAGGCAGCAGUGGGGAAUAUUGGGCAAUGGGCGCAAGCCUGACCCAGCAACGCCGCGUGAGGGAAGAAGGCCUCGGUUGUAACGUACUGUCCUGUGACGAAGAAAGUAGACGGUAGCC